UGCUGAAGAGUCCCACAAUUGGACGAAACGGCCGUCCA
rnacentral:hammerhead_ribozyme from 1 species